ACCUGGGAAUGGCGUUUUGAACUGGCAGUCUAGAGUGCGUCAGAGGGGGGUGGAAUUCCACGUGUAGCAGUGAAAUGCGUAGAGAUGUGGAGGAACACCGAUGGCGAAGGCAGCCCCCUGGGAUGACACUGACGCUCAUGUACGAAAGCGUGGGUAGCAAACAGGAUUAGAUACCCUGGUAGUCCACGCCCUAAACGAUGUCAACUGGUUGUUGGGGGAGUGAAAUCCCUUAGUAACGAAGCUAACGCGUGAAGUUGACCGCCUGGGGAGUACGGUCGCAAGAUUAAAACUCAAAGGAAUUGACGGGGACCCGCACAAGCGGUGGAUGAUGUGGAUUAAUUCGAUGCAACGCGAAAAACCUUACCUACCCUUGACAUGUCCGGAAUCCUGCAGAGAUGCGGGAGUGCCCGAAAGGGAAUCGGAACACAGGUGCUG
rnacentral:rRNA from 1 species